rnacentral:rRNA from 1 species
GGGUUGUGAGGUUAAGCGAAUAAGCGUACACGGUGGAUGCCUAGGCAAUCAGAGGCGAUGAAGGACGUGCUAAUCUGCGAAAAGCGUCGGUAAGGUGAUAUGAACCGUUAUACCCGACGAUAUCCGAAUGGGGAAACCCAGUAUCCAAUGGAUACUAUCAUUAACUGAAUCCAUAGGUUAAUGAGGCGAACCGGGAGAACUGAAACAUCUCAGUACCCCGAGGAAAAGAAAUCAACCGAGAUUCCCCUAGUAGCGGCGAGCGAACGGGGAGCAGCCCAGAGUCUUAAUCAAUAGCAGUGUCAGGAGAACGGUCUGGAAAGUCCGGCAGUAAAGGGUGAUAGCCCCGUAUCUGAAGAUGCUGUUAUUGUGAACUCGACGAGUAGGGCGGGACACGUGUUAUCCUGUCUGAAUAUGGGGGGACCAUCCUCCAAGGCUAAAUACUCCUGAUUGACCGAUAGUGAACCAGUACCGUGAGGGAAAGGCGAAAAGAACCCCGGCGAGGGGAGUGAAAAAGAACCUGAAACCGUGUACGUACAAGCAGUAGGAGCCUCUUUAUGGGGUGACUGCGUACCUUUUGUAUAAUGGGUCAGCGACUUAUAUUCUGUAGCGAGGUUAACCGUAUAGGGGAGCCGUAGGGAAACCGAGUCUUAACUGGGCGAAUGAGUUGCAGGGUAUAGACCCGAAACCCGGUGAUCUAUCCAUGGGCAGGUUGAAGGUUGGGUAACACUAACUGGAGGACCGAACCGACUAAUGUUGAAAAAUUAGCGGAUGACUUGUGGAUGGGGGUGAAAGGCCAAUCAAACCGGGAGAUAGCUGGUUCUCCCCGAAAGCUAUUUAGGUAGCGCCUCGUGAACUCAUCUUCGGGGGUAGAGCACUGUUUCGACUAGGGGGUCAUCCCGACUUACCAACUCGAUGCAAACUGCGAAUACCGAAGAAUGUUAUCACGGGAGACACACGGCGGGUGCUAACGUCCGUCGUGAAGAGGGAAACAACCCAGACCGCCAGCUAAGGUCCCAAAGUCAUGGUUAAGUGGGAAACGAAGUGGGAAGGCUCAGACAGCCAGGAUGUUGGCUUAGAAGCAGCCAUCAUUUAAAGAAAGCGUAAUAGCUCACUGGUCGAGUCGGCCCGCGCGGAAGAUGUAACGGGGCUAAACCAUGCACCGAAGCUGCGGCAGCGACACAUAGUGUUGUUGGGUAGGGGAGCGUUCUGUAAGCCUGCGAAGGUGUACUGUGAGGUAUGCUGGAGGUAUCAGAAGUGCGAAUGCUGACAUAAGUAACGAUAAUGCGGGUGAAAAACCCGCACGCCGGAAGACCAAGGGUUCCUGUCCAACGUUAAUCGGGGCAGGGUGAGUCGACCCCUAAGGCGAGGCUGAAAAGCGUAGUCGAUGGGAAACGGGUUAAUAUUCCCGUACUGGUGGUAACUGCGAUGGGGGAACGGAGAAGGCUAGGUUGUCCGGGCGACGGUCGUCCCGGUUCAAGCAGGUAGGCAGAGUGAUUAGGCAAAUCCGGUCACUUAAUGCUGAGAUGUGAUGACGAACCACCAAGGUGGUGAAGCAAUUGAUGCCCCGCUUCCAGGAAAAGCCUCUAAGCUUCAGGUUACCAACAAUCGUACCCCAAACCGACACAGGUGGUCAGGUAGAGAAUACUCAGGCGCUUGAGAGAACUCGGGUGAAGGAACUAGGCAAAAUGGUGCCGUAACUUCGGGAGAAGGCACGCUGGCGGUAGGUAAAGUCCCUCGCGGACGGCGCCCAAGCCAGUCGAAGAUACCAGCUGGCUGCAACUGUUUAUUAAAAACACAGCACUGUGCAAACACGAAAGUGGACGUAUACGGUGUGACGCCUGCCCGGUGCUGGAAGGUUAAUUGAUGGGGUUAGCGCAAGCGAAGCUCCUGAUCGAAGCCCCAGUAAACGGCGGCCGUAACUAUAACGGUCCUAAGGUAGCGAAAUUCCUUGUCGGGUAAGUUCCGACCUGCACGAAUGGCGUAAUGAUGGCCAGGCUGUCUCCACCCGAGACUCAGUGAAAUUGAACUCGCUGUGAAGAUGCAGUGUACCCGCGGCAAGACGGAAAGACCCCGUGAACCUUUACUAUAGCUUGACACUGAACAUUGAGCCUUGAUGUGUAGGAUAGGUGGGAGGCUUUGAAGUGUGGACGCCAGUCUGCAUGGAGCCAACCUUGAAAUACCACCCUUUAACGUUUGAUGUUCUAACCUAGGCCCAUAAACUGGGUCGGGGACCGUGUCUGGUGGGUAGUUUGACUGGGGCGGUCUCCUCCUAAAGAGUAACGGAGGAGCACGAAGGUUGGCUAAGCAUGGUCGGACAUCAUGCGGUUAGUGCAAAGGCAUAAGCCAGCUUGACUGCGAGAGUGACGGCUCGAGCAGGUACGAAAGUAGGUCUUAGUGAUCCGGUGGUUCUGAAUGGAAGGGCCAUCGCUCAACGGAUAAAAGGUACUCCGGGGAUAACAGGCUGAUACCGCCCAAGAGUUCAUAUCGACGGCGGUGUUUGGCACCUCGAUGUCGGCUCAUCACAUCCUGGGGCUGAAGUAGGUCCCAAGGGUAUGGCUGUUCGCCAUUUAAAGUGGUACGCGAGCUGGGUUUAGAACGUCGUGAGACAGUUCGGUCCCUAUCUGCCGUGGGCGUUGGAAGAUUGAGAGGGGUUGCUCCUAGUACGAGAGGACCGGAGUGAACGCACCACUGGUGUUCGGGUUGUCAUGCCAAUGGCAUUGCCCGGUAGCUAAGUGCGGAAGAGAUAACCGCUGAAAGCAUCUAAGCGGGAAACUUGCCUCGAGAUGAGUCUUCCCUGUCGCUUUAAGCGACCUAAAGGAACGUUUAAGACUAAGACGUUGAUAGGCUGGGUGUGUAAGCGUAGCGAUACGUUGAGCUAACCAGUACUAAUGAACCGUGAGGCUUAACCUGACAACACCGAAAGUGUUUUG